UAUCUCUGUAGAGUCUGCAUAUCAAUAAGCGGAGGAAAAGAAACUAACAUAGGAUUCCCUCAGUAACGGCGAGAUGAAGCGGGAAGAGCUCAAAUUUGAAAUCUUCAAGGUUCUACCUUGACGAAUUGUAGUUUAAAGAAGUGUUUUCUGUUGGAGUUUUGGUAAAAGUUCUUUGGAAUAGGACAUCAUAGAGGGUGAGAAUCCCGUAUUUGACCAUUACUUUCAGCUGUGUGAUACACUUUCAAAGAGUCGGAUUGUUUGGGAAUGCAGUCCAAAAUGGGUGGUAAAUUUCAUCUAAAGCUAAAUAUUGGCGAGAGACCGAUAGCGAACAAGUACCGUGAGGGAAAGAUGAAAAGAACUUUGAAAAGAGAGUUAAACAGUACGUGAAAUUGUCAAAAGGGAAGCGUUUGACACCAGUGUUGUUUUUCCGAAAAUCAAUUACGAAUGGCUUGAUUCUGUGUUGUAUUGACCUUAUCAGCUUUCUUCACUUUUUUCGAGUCUUUCUUAAUGCACUUUUCGGUUAACAAGUCACCAUCAAUUUCUUUUGUUGUAAAAGAGUAUUCGGAAGGUGGCUUUCUUUUCGGAGAAAGUGUUUAUAGCCCUAUACUUCUACAAUCGGAGAGAUUGAGGUCUGCAGCGUAGAUCCUUCGGGGUUAGAUACACUUGUGCUAAGUUGUAGCUUUUCAUAGACAACUUGUUGACUAUGUUUAGUCAUGCGGCUUACUCGCUUGUGCUAUUUUACCUACGCUUAGGAUGUUGAUCUGUAGUGCGUGCGC
rnacentral:rRNA from 1 species